rnacentral:rRNA from 1 species
UAGGGAAUCUUCCACAAUGGACGCAAGUCUGAUGGAGCAACGCCGCGUGAGUGAAGAAGGGUUUCGGCUCGUAAAGCUCUGUUGUUAAAGAAGAACGUGGGUAAGAGUAACUGUUUUACCCAGUGACGGUAUUUAACCAGAAAGCCACGGCUAACUACGCGCCAG